rnacentral:rRNA from 1 species
GACGUAGGGCGCGAGCGUUGUCCGGAUUUAUUGGGCGUAAAGAGCUCGUAGGCGGCUUGUUGCGUCGGCUGUGAAAACCCGUGGCUUAACUGCGGGCUUGCAGCUGAUACGGGCGGGCUGGAGUUCGGUAGGGGAGACUGGAAUUCCUGGUGUAGCGGUGAAAUGCGCAGAUAUCAGGAGGAACACCGGUGGCGAAGGCGGAUCUCUGGGCCUUACCUGACGCUCAGGUGCGAAAGCUAGGGGGAGCGAACAGG